rnacentral:rRNA from 1 species
UGUUCCUACGGGGGGCAGCAGUGGGGAAUAUUGCACAAUGGGCGAAAGCCUGAUGCAGCAACGCCGCGUGAAGGAAGAAGGCCUUCGGGUCGUAAACUUCUGUCCUUGGGGAAGAAGAACUGACGGUACCCAAGGAGGAAGCCCCGGCUAACUACGUGCCAGCAGCCGCGGUAAUACGUAGGGGGCAAGCGUUAUCCGGAAUGAUUGGGCGUAAAGGGUGCGUAGGCGGCCUGCUAAGUCUGGAGUGAAAGGUACCGGCUCAACCGGUACAGGCUCUGGAAACUGGCGGGCUAGAGAGCAGGAGG